CCUACGGGAGGCAGCAGUAGGGAAUAUUGCUCAAUGGGGGAAACCCUGAAGCAGCAACGCCGCGUGGAGGAUGACGGUUUUCGGAUUGUAAACUCCUUUUGUUAGAGAGGAUAAUGACGGUAUCUAACGAAUAAGCACCGGCUAACUCCGUGCCAGCAGCCGCGGUAAUACGGAGGGUGCAAGCGUUACUCGGAAUUACUGGGCGUAAAGCGCGCGUAGGCGGGUUAGCAAGUCAGAUGUGAAAUCCUAGGGGUUAACCAUAGAACGGCAUUUGAAACUGUUAUUCUAGAGUAUGGGAGAGGUAGGUGGAAUGCUUGGUGGAGGGGUAAAAUCCGUAGAGAUCAAGAAGAAUACUCAUUGCGAAGGCGACUUGCUAGAACAUAACUGACGCUGAGGCGCGAAAGCGUGGGGAACAAACAGGAUUAGAUACCCCUGUAGUC
rnacentral:rRNA from 1 species